AGGUUUUAUCUGUUAAUUUGUUCCGUUUGCAACGGUGGCCCAGAGUACAUCAGCCGACUGCCGCUCGGAUGGGAGGAUGUGACACACCUGAGCCUGUAUAACCUGAGCGUGAUCCACAAGAAGAAGUACUUUGACUCUGAGAUGCACCUGAUGAGUUACAUCAAUGAAAACUGGGAGCUGCUGCAGCUGGGGGAGAUCGCCAACAC